rnacentral:rRNA from 1 species
GAUGAACGCUGGCGGCGUGCCUAAUACAUGCAAGUCGAGCGAACAGACGAGGAGCUUGCUCCUCUGACGUUAGCGGCGGACGGGUGAGUAACACGUGGAUAACCUACCUAUAAGACUGGGAUAACUUCGGGAAACCGGAGCUAAUACCGGAUAAUAUAUUGAACCGCAUGGUUCAAUAGUGAAAGACGGUUUUGCUGUCACUUAUAGAUGGAUCCGCGCCGCAUUAGCUAGUUGGUAAGGUAACGGCUUACCAAGGCAACGAUGCGUAGCCGACCUGAGAGGGUGAUCGGCCACACUAGAACUGAGGCACGGGCCAAACUCCUACGGGAGGCAGCAGUCGGGAAUCUUCCGCGAUGGGCGAAAGCCUGACGGAGCAACGCCGCGUGGGUGAUGAAGGUCUUCGGAUCGUAAAACUCUGUUAUUAGGGAAGAACAAAUGUGUAAGUAACUAUGCACGUCUUGACGGUACCUAAUCAGAAAGCCACGGCUAACUACGUG